rnacentral:rRNA from 1 species
AUUGAACGCUAGCGGGAUGCCUUACACAUGCAAGUCGAACGGAGUGGCGAACGGGUGAGUAAUUUAUCGGAACGUGCCCAGUAGCGGGGGAUAACUACGCGAAAGCGUAGCUAAUACCGCAUACUAUUUGAGCGGCCGAUAUCGGAUUAGCUAGUUGGUGGGGUAACGGCUCACCAAGGGGACGAUCCGAAGCUGGUUUGAGAGGACGACCAGCCACACUGGGACUAAGGAACGGCCCAGCCUCCUACGUGAUGCAGUAUUGGGGAAUUUUGGACAAUGGGGGAAACCCUGAUCCAGCCAUCCCGCGUGUGCGAUGAAGGCCUUCGGGUUGUAAAGCACUUUUGGCAGGAAAGCGGUACCUGCAGAAUAAGCACCGGCUAACUACGUGCCAGCAGCCGCGGUAAUUC